AAAAAAAAAGCAGGGAAAUCAUUUUGUAGCUGCGAUGUUAGGGGUGUGAUGGAACCCUACCGAAAGGUUUUACAUACAUAAUGUGCAACAUGGUUGAUAUCCACUUGUACUGAUAGCAUCCAUCGAAAAGAGGGACAGAAAUAUCGAAAAGGAAUGGAUUAGACAGCUAGUGUAUGUACAAGACAACAAGGGCCAGACAACAGGUGGGGAACACACACUGGCUGCUUUGAAUGUUAUUCAGGUGAUCUGAGGGAAGGAACCAGAAAAAUAAGAAAGUGAUGACAAGGAAACCAAGAAAGACCAGACAACAGAUGGGGCAAAAAUGCUGGCUGUGAGUAGAGCAGACAACCAGGACUAGACAACAGGUGGGGAACAAACAGUGGUUGUGAGGAG